rnacentral:rRNA from 1 species
UGGGGAAUAUUGGGCAAUGGGCGAAAGCCUGACCCAGCAACGCCGCGUGAAGGAAGAAGGUUUUCGGAUUGUAAACUUCUGUCCUCAGGGAAGAAAAGAAUGACGGUACCUGAGGAGGAAGCCCCGGCUAACUACGUGCCAGCAGCCGCGGUAAUACGUAGGGGGCGAGCGUUGUCCGGAAUGACUGGGCGUAAAGGGCGCGUAGACGGCUGUCUAAGUCUGGAGUGAAAGUCCUGCUUUCAAGGUGGGGAUUGCGUUGGAGACUGGAUGGCUUGAGUGCGGAAGAGGUAGGUG